AUCGAACGCUGGCGGCAGGCCUAACACAUGCAAGUCGAGCGAGCGGCGGACGGGUGAGUAAUGUAUGGGGAACUGCCUGAUGGAGGGGGAUAACUACUGGAAAAGGUAGCUAAUACCGCAUACCAUCAGAUGGGCCCAUAUGGGAUUAGCUUGUAGGUGGGGUAACGGCUCACCUAGGCGACGAUCCCUAGCUGGUCUGAGAGGCUGACCAGCCACACUGGGACUGGGACACGGCCCAUACUCCUACGGGAGGCAGCAGUGGGGAAUAUUGCACAAUGGGCGCAAGCCUGAGGCAGCCAUGCCGCGUGUAUGAAGAAGGCCUUAGGGUUGUAAAGGACUUUCAGCGGGGAGGCGUUACCCGCAGAAGAAGCACCGGCUAACUCCGUGCCAGCCGCCGCGGUAAUUC
rnacentral:rRNA from 1 species